UCAGUGUUUCUGCUCGUGUUCAUCAUGAAGACUUUUGUGGCACUAAUUCUGUUGGGAAUCCUAAUAAAAGACAGCACAUCGAUGAUCCACACUCUGAGAAUAUUUGAAACAUCUUCGUCUCAAGUUCCAAACUUCCCAGAGUAUGUUGCAGUCGCUGUGGUGAAUGGUCUGGAGGUGAUACGCUGGGACAGUGAGACCAGGAGAUUUGAGCCCAAACAGGAGUGGAUGAACAGAGUGACAGAGGACGACCCAAUGUUCUGGGACUGGACCACUCAGCUCUGUGUGAUUGGUCUUCAGAUAGGGAAAGUCCGCAUAGAGAUUGUAAAACGACUCUUCAACCAGACUGAAGGUGCUCACAUUUGGCAGCGGAUGUACGGCUGUGACUGGGACGAUGAGACUGAUGACAUCACUGUGUAUAUUCAGUACGCCUUUGAUGGACAGGACUUUCUUUCUCUGGACCUGAGCACAGAGUCCUGGGUCGCUGCUAAAUCUGAGGCUUUUAUUAUCAAACUGAAGUUUGAGAGCAGUGGACGAGCUCAGAUUUACAAACAAAACAUCCGCAAAGUCUGCACUGUGGGGCUGAAGAACUAUGUGCGCUAUGGAGAGAAAAGUCUGAAGAGAACAGAGCUCCCCCUGGUGUCUCUGCUGCAGAAGUCCUCCUCUUCCCCGGUCACGUGUCACGCCACAGGCUUCUACCCCGAUAGAGCCAGGCUGUUCUGGACCAAAGACGGAGACGAGCUGCUGGAGGACGUGGACCCUGGAGAGAUCUUGCCCAACGAAGACGGGACCUUCCAGACCAGUGUGUCCCUGGACCUGUCCUCUGUCCCCCCUGAGGACUGGGACAGGUACCACUGUGUGUUCCAGGUGUCUGGGGACAAAAAUAAGUAUGUGACCAGACUGGACCGGAGCAAGAUCAGGACCAAUGCCAAAAAUGCUCCGACCUCCAUCACUGCUGCUGUGGUCGUUGUGGGAGUCGUCAUCGUCGCUGCUGCUGUGGCUCUGUUUGUGAUCAGACGAAAGAGAGCACCAAACAACUGUCGACAAGAUGCUCAGAUGAGACGAAAUCUAAAUCCUGUUACCCCGGCGACAAACUCUGGGGAAACAUCAGGUAAGUGCACAUUUCAUCUGUCAGUGUUUCAUCAUGUUCUUAAUGUGUUCAUAUUUUGAUCUUCUCCAGAUCCAGAGACACAGACACUGAGGCCUGGAGCUCCUGAGGCUGAGUCCACUGAGUAACACUGAACGCCGCUUUAUUCCUCUGUUUUGGUGAACUUUGUCCUGGAUAACACAGUGUUUAUAAGUCUAUCCAUCCAUGCAUGUUCUUCUGCUUUAUCUUUAUACUUGAACUCCUCCACUUGAGGCAGGGACUCUCCACCCACCCGCUACACCUUGAAAUUCUGUCCAUAAAAACAAUGAACAGAACCGGUGACAAAGGGCAGCCCUGGGGGAGUCCAACAUGCACCAGGAACAGGUCUGACUUACUGCAAUGAACACAGCUCCUGCUCCGGUCAUACAGGGACCGGACAGCCCUUAUCAAAUGUCCCUGGACCCUGUACUCACGGAGCACCCCCCAAAGGACACCACGAGUCGAAUGCCUUCUCCAGAUCCACAAAACACAUGUGGACUGGUUGGGCAAACUCCCAUGAGCCCCACAACCAGGAUGAAAACCAAACUGCUCCUCCUGGAUCUGGGGUUCGAUUAUCGGUCAGAUUCUCCUCUCCAGUAACUUGGAAUAGACCUUACUGGGAAGGCUGAGGAGUGUGAUUCCACUGUUGUUGGAACUCACCCUUCGGUUAUAAAGUCCUCUUGAAAUUUGUUUACUCAUUGGGAGAAAUUAUCAUGUAGAACAACCUUAUCCAGAGGUUUUAGAGCUGGUUUUCUGGAAUCACUUCACAAACAAACCUGUAAAAUCCUAGAACGAAAACCACGACAACACCACCACCUCCAUAUUCUACAAAAAUACAGACUGUUUAACUCUGACAUAUACAAAGACUGGCCUUUAAAUCGACUGGUAUAUAAAACCCUGAAUAACUCUACACCUGCCUCCACCAGGGGGCAGUGUACCACAUGAAAAUGCAAAACAAACAGCCUUCUAUAAAACAAUAAAGGAACAAUCUCCCAACUGAACUAAAAAUUAAACUAAAAACAAACUUCAAGCAUUUUCUACAGUUUGUGGAACUUGAACCAAACAUCACAAACUAAAAUGAAGAUGAUUUUUGACCUUGUUCUAAUUUAUCUGCAGUCAUUUAUUUUAUUUAUUUAUCUUUAUUUACAC